AUCACAAUAAGUUAUAAAUGUUCACUCUACUUGUAGGACACUAGAGGAAAGAUCAAAAGUCAGAGACAAAAUUGACGUCUCCCGUGGCGAUUGUCCAAUCCGUCAUUUAGAACAUGUAAUGGCUACAGUGAGUUUUGAUUACUCACGCUGUAGAGGAGCAGUUGAAGUAUACCUGAUUUCACCCAGUGGGACCAAAGUAGUUUUGCUUCCUAAACGAUACAACGACGCGUACUAUACGUACUCAACAUCAGGCACCUUUACAUGGACUUACAAAGUUGUUCAUUUAUGGGGAGAAAAUCCUUUAGGAAAGUGGAAAGUUUUACUUAAGGUAGACAGCAUGAAUGUCAGUGCGGAACUAAAGGAGUGGUAUCUUACUCUCUAUGGAACAUCAUCAAACCCGAUGAAAGGUUAAAAACCUGCUUAUCAAGGUGAAUUUGUCAACUGAAUUUCACAGUGGGUCAAUCGUCAAAUGAUUAGACAUUAUUUUAAUAUUCAUAAAAAAAAGUUUUUGUCAUAGGAUUUCCAGAUUAAUAAAGUUUUGUUAUUUAUUUUG